rnacentral:lncRNA from 1 species
GUGCCCAGACAGACGAGCCACUGGCAGGACGGGACGCUCCCCCUCACGCCCCCGGAGCUGGCCUGCCGGGGCCAAAGCCCGCGAGAAGCGGGGCUGGCCCGGGGCUCCGGACAGACGAGCGCCCCAAGGGCGAGUUCUCCACCACUGAGGACAGGGGCCGCUCACCAUCGCCAGGUCUCCACAGAGCCGCGACAAGGACGCCACGCCACUGGGGCUGCGGGAGCUCCUCGGCCUCGCGCGGUGGCACGCCACAAGAUCAGGGGUCCGCCAUGCUGCUCUCCUGGGUCAGGGCGAGAGAGCACACACACCACAAGGGUUUCCACAAGGAGGAAGGGCCACGCUGGCGCCAGGGGACCAGGGCCCCUCCACCUGGAGACCCGCACUGCAUCGGGCUGCCACGGCUCCCCAGCCUCCCCAGCCUCCCCUCUCUCUGGGUGUCUGCAGCCACACGGACCCUGCCUGGGGGCCGGGCGGGGGGGUGCAGGCCCGGCCUGCACAGAGGCGUGCCAGGGGCACAGAGAGAGGCCCCGGCAUUCUUCUCCCACGUCCCAGGGCCCGAAAGAUGGAUCCCCAAGGCCGGCUCCCCGCCCCCAACACGGCAACAAGGUGCCCCACGGAGGCACAUUCAGGCCCACUGGGGCAACCUGCGCCACACCCCCGACACGACCGGGAAACCCAAACCCCUGGCACCUCCUCUGCCUCAGGACUUCCGCCAGGACUCACCGCCCUGCGGAAACCCUCUCUCUUCCUUUGUUCUCUCCCUCUCUCUCUCUCCCUCUCGGUCCCACCCGCUGUCACCCUUUCCCUGGCGAGCGCGCGCGCACCGAAGCUUUCUCUCCUUUGCUGGACCCAUCCGACGCACGAUCAGCCACUUGCCCUCACAAGAGUCUGUCCGUGCCAGCCGGCUCUCCAGGAACCCCAGCACGGGAGCACUGAUGCUACCCUGCCCUGACGAAGGGUGACCUCAGUUUCGAUGAGGAGACGGUAGUGAGUUCUCACUCAUUUUGUUCAGAUUUCCAAGGAAUGCUUUAGAGGGAGUCAUCAUCGAUCCGAGCACGGGCUCCGCCGCCGCAAGGCAAAUUCACGGCCUCCGCACCUGGACAUCCCACCGCUCCAUCACGGCAGCGUUUGGGGGCGUGCCCAGACAGACGAGCCACUGGGCAGGACGGGACGCUCCCCCUCACGCCCCGGAGCUGGCCUGCCGGGGCCAAAGCCCGCGAGAAGCGGGGCUGGCCGGGGCUCCGGACAGACGAGCGCCCCAAGGGCGAGUUCUCCACCACUGAGGACAGGGCCGCUCACCAUCGCCAGUCUCCACAGAGCCGCGACAAGGACGCCACGCGCACUGGGCUGCGGGAGCUCCUCGGCCUCGCGCGGUGGCACGCCACAAGAUCAGGGGUCCGCCAUGCUGCUCUCCUGGGUCAGGGCGAGAGAGCACACACACCACAAGGGUUGCCACAAGGAGGAAGGGCCACGCUGGCGCCAGGGGACCAGGGCCCCUCCACCUGGAGACCCGCACUGCAUCGGGCUGCCACGGCUCCCCAGCCUCCCCAGCCUCCCCUCUCUCUGGGUGUCUGCAGCCACACGGACCCUGCCUGGGGGACGGGCGGGGGGGUGCAGGCCCGGCCUGCACAGAGGCGUGCCAGGGGCACAGAGAGAGGCCCCGGCAUUCUUCUCCACGUCCAGGGCCCGAAAGAUGGAUCCCCAAGGCCGCUCCCCGCCCCCAACACGGCAACAAGGUGCCCCACGGAGGCACAUUCAGGCCCACUGGGCAACCUGCGCCACACCCCCGACACGACCGGGAAACCCAAACCCCUGGCACCUCCUCUGCCUCAGGACUUCCGCCAGGACUCACCGCCCCUGCGGAAACCCUCUCUCUUCCUUUGUUCUCUCCCUCUCUCUCUCUCCCUCUCGUCCCACCCGCUGUCACCCUUUCCCUGGCGAGCGCGCGCGCGCCGAAGCUUU